rnacentral:rRNA from 1 species
CCUACGGGUGGCAGCAGUGAGGAAUAUUGGUCAAUGGACGAGAGUCUGAACCAGCCAAGUAGCGUGAAGGAUGACUGCCCUAUGGGUUGUAAACUUCUUUUAUAUGGGAAUAAAAUGUUCCACGUGUGGGAUUUUGUAUGUACCAUAUGAAUAAGGAUCGGCUAACUCCGUGCCAGCAGCCGCGGUAAUACGGAGGAUCCGAGCGUUAUCCGGAUUUAUUGGGUUUAAAGGGAGCGUAGGUGGAUUGUUAAGUCAGUUGUGAAAGUUUGCGGCUCAACCGUAAAAUUGCAGUUGAAACUGGCAGUCUUGAGUACAGUAGAGGUGGGCGGAAUUCGUGGUGUAGCGGUGAAAUGCUUAGAUAUCACGAAGAACUCCGAUUGCGAAGGCAGUUCACUGGACUGCAACUGAAACUGAGGCUCGAAAGUGUGGGUAUCAAACAGGAUUAGAUACCCGAGUAGUC